CACAUGCAAGUCGAGCGGAUGACGGGAGCUUGCUCCUUGAUUCAGCGGCGGACGGGUGAGUAAUGCCUAGGAAUCUGCCUGGUAGUGGGGGACAACGUUUCGAAAGGAACGCUAAUACCGCAUACGUCCUACGGGAGAAAGCAGGGGACCUUCGGGCCUUGCGCUAUCAGAUGAGCCUAGGUCGGAUUAGCUAGUAGGUGAGGUAAUGGCUCACCUAGGCGACGAUCCGUAACUGGUCUGAGAGGAUGAUCAGUCACACUGGAACUGAGACACGGUCCAGACUCCUACGGGAGGCAGCAGUGGGGAAUAUUGGACAAUGGGCGAAAGCCUGAUCCAGCCAUGCCGCGUGUGUGAAGAAGGUCUUCGGAUUGUAAAGC
rnacentral:rRNA from 1 species